rnacentral:rRNA from 1 species
CAGCAGCCGCGGUAAUACGUAGGGUGCGAGCGUUAAUCGGAAUUACUGGGCGUAAAGCGUGCGCAGGCGGUUGUGUAAGACAGGUGUGAAAUCCCCGGGCUUAACCUGGGAACUGCGCUUGUGACUGCACAGCUAGAGUAUGGCAGAGGGGGGUGGAAUUCCACGUGUAGCAGUGAAAUGCGUAGAGAUGUGGAGGAACACCGAUGGCGAAGGCAGCCCCCUGAGCCAAUACUGACGCUCAUGCACGAAAGCGUGGGGAGCAAACAGGACUAGAUACCCGCGUAGUCCCUGUCUCUUAUAC